AGAGCGAACGCUGGCGGCAGGCUUAACACAUGCAAGUCGAGCGGGCGUAGCAAUACGUCAGCGGCAGACGGGUGAGUAACGCGUGGGAACGUACCUUUUGGUUCGGAACAACACAGGGAAACUUGUGCUAAUACCGGAUAAGCCCUUACGGGGAAAGAUUUAUCGCCAAAAGAUCGGCCCGCGUCUGAUUAGCUAGUUGGUGAGGUAACGGCUCACCAAGGCGACGAUCAGUAGCUGGUCUGAGAGGAUGAUCAGCCACAUUGGGACUGAGACACGGCCCAAACUCCUACGGGAGGCAGCAGUGGGGAAUAUUGGACAAUGGGCGCAAGCCUGAUCCAGCCAUGCCGCGUGAGUGAUGAAGGCCCUAGGGUUGUAAAGGCUCUUUUGUGCGGGAAGAUAAUGACGGUACCGCAAGAAUAAGCCCGGCUAACUUCGUGCCAGCAGCCGC
rnacentral:rRNA from 1 species